AUACGGGGGGAGCAAGCGUUGUCCGGAAUCAUUGGGCGUAAAGGGCACGUAGGCGGUUUCUUAAGUCGAAUGUGAAAUCUCACGGCUCAACCGUGAAACUGCGUUCGAAACUAAGUGACUUGAGUUUGGGAGAGGUGUACGGAAUUCCUGGUGUAGCGGUGGAAUGCGUAGAUAUCAGGAAGAACACCAAUGGCGAAGGCAGUACACUGGCCUGAAACUGACGCUGAGGUGCGAAAGCGUGGGGAGCAAACAGGAUUAGAAACCCCGGUAGUCC
rnacentral:rRNA from 1 species